rnacentral:lncRNA from 1 species
AUAGAGAGUUGAAAGGCCCUCAGCCUUAUUCAUUCACUGAUGAUUUACACCCUGUGUUUGCAUGCAGGCAUGGCUCCAGGGAUUGAACUGGGACAGGGGACAGGAUCAUGACAACAAGUUAAAACCCACCGUGACGGACCUUUCAUACUGCCGCUCAGAGUCAGACGGAUGAUAGAUUGGGACGGCGCUAAGGUGGUGACUGCCAUCUGGGAGCGUGCGAUACAGAGGAGGCGUCAGGCAGCGAGCGAGGCGUGUUUCUGAGCGCCUACGGCUCAGAAGACGCGCUGGAUCAACAUCGCCCCCAGGGCUGCGGGCUCCCGAGGCGCGCUUCAUGCUACCGGCCGCCGCUCGCGCCGACCCUUCAGCAGCGCCAUCGUGACAACGGAGCAGUUUAACCCGCGUUUCACACAGGAAAUUAGACACUUUGUGUGGGUUGUGAGGUGACCUUCAUCCCCGCACGCCGCCCGCCGCCCGCGAGACGACAUGGAAGGCCCGCGAAAGAGUCGUGCUGCGAGGGGCUCGCGCCAUCCAUCACGCCUGGCGGGAAGCGCUACGAACCGGCCUGAGUCCAAACCCCAAACCCAGUUCAGACAAUACAAACUAAACCAGGGGGCUUGAUUUCAUGGUCUGACGUGUGCUGGAGACGCCUGUGACCUUUGAACCUGCUCGUCAAGCGCCUGUUGUUUCCAGGGAUGUCUACGGUGCCUUUUACCCGUGGCUUCGGGGCGAGAGGAGACCUCAGCGCCUCAGGCAACACAGUGUCAAACUGCUGCAGCUUCACGUCAGGCUCAGGUUCCUUUGUUUGAUCCCACACGACGUCAUCCUCGGUGAGAGGCAGAAACACUUCUCUGCAUCUUUAUAACGUGAAACCACCACACACAUAUUAUGACCAUUUAAACACCAGUAAUUUACGACACAUAUUAUGAGCAUGUGACGUUCAGUCCUUUUAGCUCUGAUUUUAGGCAGUAACUGGUAGAUUUCAUCCAGACCCCACACGCUGCAUCUGUUUCAUAUUAACAGCUUUAGUCCUAAUGAUCUGACCACAUAGAUUACAAUGAUUUUCAGUAGAAAAAUAUCCAUAUUAUGAUUUUCGGCUCAUUCCGGUGCUGCAUUAAUUUGCAGGAGUGAAGCAGUGUCUCAGAGCAGACACACCUGAGACGCUGCCUCACGAUUCUAACUCAAUUUAACAAUUUAACUCGCAUCAGCGUUGCAGCACACAGGAUCUGGCUUCAGCAGCUAAAAGGGAGAGCGAAAUUUGCAUCUCAGCGUUUCCCACGAUGUCUGAU